UGGUCUGAGAGGAUGGUCAGCCACACUGGGACUGAGACACUGCCCAGACUCCUACGGGAGGCUGCAGUCGAGGAUCUUUGUCAAUGCGCGGAAGCGUGAACAUGCGACGCUGCGUGGAGGAUGAAGGCUUUCGGGUUGUAAACUCCUGUCAUCCGGGAAAAACGAGUGGGCCGUUAAUAGCGGUUCGCAGUGAUGGUACCGGAAGAGGAAGCCACGGCUAACUCUGUGCCAGCAGCCGCGGUAAUACAGAGGUGGCGAGCGUUGUUCGGAUUUACUGGGCGUAAAGAGUGCGUAGGUGGCUUCGUAUGUCGGACGUGAAAGCCCACGGCUCAACCGUGGAAUUGCAUUCGAAACUGCGGGGUUUGAGUGCAGGAGAGGAGAGCGGAAUUCCUGGUGUAGCGGUGAAAUGCGUUGAUACCAGGAAGAACACCGGUGGCGAAGGCGGCUCUCUGGAAUGUUACUGACACUGAGGCACGAAAGCUGGGGGAGCGAACAGGAUUAGAUACCCUGGUAGUCCCAGCCGUAAACGGUGUGCACUUGGUGUAGGGGGUAUUGAUCCCCUCUGUGCCGGAGCUAACGCGUUAAGUGCACUGCCUGGGGAGUACGGCCGCAAGGCUAAAACUCAAAGAAAUUGACGGGGGCCCGCACAAGCGGAGGAGCAUGUGGCUCAAUUCGAUGCAACGCGAAGAACCUUACCAGGGCUUGACAUGUAGCUGCACGCCCGCCGAAAGGUGGGAAGCCUUCGAGGGUGCUACACAGGUGCUGCAUGGCUGUCGCCAGUUCGUGCCGUGAGGUGUUGGGUUAAGUCCCGCAACGAACGCAACCCUUGUGUCUAGUUGCCACCGGAGGUGAUGAGCCUUCGAGCACUCUAGACAGACUGCCCGUACAAGCGGGAGGAAGGUGGGGAUGACGUCAAGUCAGUAUGGCCCUUACGUCCUGGGCUGCACACGUGCUACAAUGGUCGGUACAGAGGGAUGCAAGACCGCGAGGUGGAGCAAAUCCCGAAAGCUGACCUCAGUUCGGAUUGGAGUCUGCAACUCGACUCCAUGAAGUUGGAUUCGCUAGUAACGGCGUAUCAGCUACGGCGCCGUGAAUACGUUCCCGGGCCUUGUACACACCGCCCGUCACAUCAUGAAAGCCGUCAGCACCCGAAGUCGCUGACCCAACUUGCAAAAGAGGGAGGCGCCGAAGGUGUGGGUGGUGAUUGGGAUGAAGUCGAAACAAGGUA
rnacentral:rRNA from 1 species